AAUAUAUUAAAAAAACUAUUAAUAUUAUAUAUUUUGUUAAUAUAUAAUAUUUAUUAAUAUUUAAUAUAUAUUA
rnacentral:tRNA from 1 species